rnacentral:lncRNA from 1 species
GUUUCAAUUAUUGUGUUUCAUCACAUUUAAGAUGCUCUCUGUUAAGGCAUGUUCUCGGAGCUUUACUAAAGCACUGCCAGUCCUGACACGGUGCCUUUCUCUGAGUCCCUUAACCAUCAUCCACCCUACUAAGUGUCCAGCCUGUGUCGGAACUGGGUUAUGACCCACUGGUGCGUCCUGACCUGCAGCGUGAUUGCUUGCUUGCUUUAAAGUCCCGCAGUUUGCAGUCCAAAGCGUCUCAAGCUCUGGCUCAGCCGAGAGAGGACACAGGCCAGAGGGACUGUGCAGACCAGGCUGAGGAGAGGGCUGGGGAAAUUGGGGCAGAGGACAGCUCCCCCUGGAGCAGAGAAGUAGCUGGGAGCCAAAGGCCCAGCUGCUGAUAGGGAGCUGAUGUCAGUUUAUAAGACACACCCUGAUUUUAGAGUUGUUAAAAAGUGUGAUCCUUAGAAUGAUAAAAUAUAGCCUGUUGUAAGCAACGGUAUUUAUGAAUUUUUUUAAAAAGAAAACAUGAGUAGAACUCCUGCUUGCAUUCUCUAUGUUUGAUACUAGGAUUAGUGCUAACCUUUUUAGAAAGACGUGGAUACCAACAAGAAGAAUUCCCUAUAUUGCUAGCAAUAAAUAUUUGUGAAAUUGAAAGGAAGUAUUUUAAGAAAAAGACAGUACUUUAAAAGCAGCGACACUUCUGUAGUUACUGAGAAAAACUGGAUUUUGUUUUUGGUGAGGGGAGAGAGUCUAAUUUAAUCUUAAAUUGAGAUCCAUUGGUAAAUGAGAAGUCCAGAAACUGUGCUUUUCUAAUCUAAGAAUUUACAGAGAGAGAAAAUGUGUGCCGCAUGUUUUAAACAUCCUCCACUAACAAUACAAAGUCUGAUUUUUUUAAAGGUACAUUUAUAAUUCAUUUGUAUCAAAACUAUUUUAACAUACAUGUGCUUUUUCAAAUAAAAAAAAUGAAGUAGAAUAUACCAAAUGCAUACACUUUUAUUCGCUGAACAGUUUCAGUGUCUGAAAUUUUGUGGUAGUUUUUUAAUGUGCUUCUUAAUACAGAAAGGGAAGUAGAAUCCUCAGGUAUCCAGGCAUCUCUUGUUGAGUUGAAGGUUAUUCAUUGCUUUGGCCUCACAAAGUUUGGGUUUCAACUAUCGUAAGUGAAAAUAUUUUCAAUUAAUAUUCUAAUUAAUGGUAAUAUUAAUUAGAAUAAAAAGAAAUUGCUUUUUUGAAAUAUGUGUAACUUCUAAAAAUAAAACUUUAAAUUUACCUGU